rnacentral:rRNA from 1 species
GUUCGGACUGUAGGCUGCAACUCGCCUACACGAAGCUGGAAUCGUUAGUAAUCGCGGAUCAGCACGCCGCGGUGAAUACGUUCCCGGGCCUUGUACACACCGCCCGUCACACCAUGAGAGUCUGUAACACCCAAAGCCGGUGGGAUAACCUUUAUAGGAGUCAGCCGUCUAAGGUAGGACAGAUGAUUAGGGUGAAGUCGUAACAAGGUACC